CAGUUAAAAAGCUCGUAGUUGGAUUUCGGAGUGGGCCAGUUGGUCCGCCGCAAGGUGUGUUACUGACUGGUUUGCUCUUCUUCGCAAAGACUGCGUGUGCUCUUGAGAGAGUGUGCGUAGGAUUUACGACGUUUACUUUGAAAAAAUUAGAGUGUUCAAAGCAGGCUAUUGCUUGAAUACAUGAGCAUGGAAUAAUGGAAUAGGACUUUGGUCCCAUUUUGUUGGUUUCUAGGGCCGAAGUAAUGAUUAAGAGGGACAAUUGGGGGCAUCCGUAUUUCGUUGUCAGAGGUGAAAUUCUUGGAUUUACGAAAGACGAACAACUGUGAAAGCACUUGCCAAGAGUGUUUUCAUUAAUCAAGAACGAAAGUUAGAGGAUCGAAGACGGUCAGAUACCGUCCUAGUUCUAACCAUAAACGAUGUCGACUAGGGAUCAGCGGGCGUUAUCGUACGACCCCGUUGGCACCUUACGGGAAACCAAAGUUUUUGGAUUCCGGGGGAAGUAUGGUUGCAAAGCUGAAACUUAAAGGAAUUGACGGAAGGGCACCACCAGGAGUGGAGCCUGUGGCUCAAUUUGACUCAACACGGGAAAACUUACCAGGUCCAGACAUAGUAAAGAUUGACAGGUUGAGAGCCCUUUCUUGAUCCUAUGGGGUGGUGGUGCA
rnacentral:rRNA from 1 species